rnacentral:rRNA from 1 species
CCUACAGGUGGCAGCAGUGAGGAAUAUUGGUCAAUGGGCGGGAGCCUGAACCAGCCAAGUCGCGUGAGGGAAGACGGUCCUACGGAUUGUAAACCUCUUUUGCCGGGGAGCAACGGGGUCCUUGCGUGGGCUCGAUGAGUGUACCCGGAGAAAAAGCAUCGGCUAACUCCGUGCCAGCAGCCGCGGUAAUACGGAGGAAGCGAGCGUUAUCGGGUUUUAUUGGGUUUAAAGGGUGCGGAGGCGGGCUGUUAAGUCAGCGGUAAAUUGUCGGGGCUCAACCCCGGCCUGCCGUUGAAACGGGCGGCCUCGAGUGUGCGAGAAGUAUGCGGAAUGCGUGGUGUAGCGGUGAAAUGCAUAGAGAUCACGCAGAACUCCGAUGGCGAAGGCAGCAUACCGGCGCCCGACUGACGCUGAGGCACGAAAGCGUGGGGAUCGAACAGGAUUAGAUACCCGGGUAGUC